AUGCCGAAAUAGGGAAUGUCGCGACUCCUGCACCUUUGCCUAUCGGGAAUCAUCGAGGACACUUCCUGCUUCCGUCUUUGUAACCGUCACGCCCCAAAUGUUUAAACGUUGCAGUCGUGGAGGACUGUGUGACGCUGACUAUCGUUUCACAAGAAACACUGCAAUCGACUAAACAAUUACAUACGGCACAAAGACAUUUGGCCCACCAUGCUAUGACCUGCCAUGUGGAAUGGUGGCCCCUUCUUCUUCUCCUUCUUUCAAGGCUACGCCCCAUGCACACCCAUCCCCCCUACUGGCCCAUCACACACACCCCUGUCACCCCCUGUUGGGUGCUGGGUGGGGGGAUUAUGCGGAGUGGGAGGCUCGUAAAGGGUCUGCCAGGCUCUUUCUGUUGUGUGACGGAUGGCUGGGAGGCUGAACGGGGGCCUGCUUUGCAUGAGAAGAGGAGCCAGCAGAGGGGAGAAUAGAGGCCUAUUCAGGGAGGCCUGUCACCCUCAAAUCACCCCCCCACACACACAUGCACACACCGCUGCUCCCCCUUCCUCAUCCAUCCCUUCAUCCUUUUCAUCCCUCCUCCAUUUCGGCCUCCAUCAUCGCGGCCAUCCUUACUUAUUGAUUUCAUCCCCACUUAAUUUCUGUUCCUUCACAUUUCCCCUCCUUUCCAUCAACACCGCACACUAGUGACCCCUCCCAACCAUCCGGUGAGUUCCGUCACAUGGGAGUCAGGAGUCAUGCUAUUAAUGCAAAAGCAAGUCGUGUGACGCAGCAUCCACUUUUGAAGGAGCAAUAAAAUUUAGAACUUCUUU